GAUGAACGCUAGCGGGAGGCCUAACACAUGCAAGCCGAGCGGUAUUUGUCCUUCGGGACAGGGAGAGCGGCGUACGGGUGCGGAACACGUGUGCAACCUGCCUUUAUCUGGGGGAUAGCCUUUCGAAAGGAAGAUUAAUACCCCAUAAUAUAUCGAAUGGCAUCAUUCGAUAUUGAAAACUCCGGUGGAUAGAGAUGGGCACGCGCAAGAUUAGAUAGUUGGUGAGGUAACGGCUCACCAAGUCAGUGAUCUUUAGGGGGCCUGAGAGGGUGAUCCCCCACACUGGUACUGAGACACGGACCAGACUCCUACGGGAGGCAGCAGUGAGGAAUAUUGGACAAUGGGUGAGAGCCUGAUCCAGCCAUCCCGCGUGAAGGACUAAGGCCCUAUGGGUUGUAAACUUCUUUUAUACUGGGAUAAACCUACUUACGUGUAAGUAGCUGAAGGUACAGUAUGAAUAAGCACCGGCUAACUCCGUG
rnacentral:rRNA from 1 species